CGAGGAGUUCGACGAGGGAUUCGAUUACAAGCGAAGGGUCUGGCUGUAAGUCUCGCGGAGGAGCAAGCUUGGCAAAAUACUUGGAUUGGUAUUCUGCUGUUAAGUCUGGGAGACUUGUUCGUGGAGAGGACUCGAGAAGGCUGGCUCGGGUGUGCGACACUUGAGCGCCGCGCGGGGAUUUUCAAGGCGAAAAAGCUAACCCCGUGACAAAACGCUCUAUAACUUUUAAACAAAAUCACUUCUCUAAACUAAAAUCACUUUUUCAGAAGCUAGGCCAAAGAGGCCCUUAAACUCGUCAUUGACUUCGAUCCACACCAAGUCAAAAUCAAUUACGAGAAAACUAUGCAAAAAAUAAUAAAUUAUUAGUUCAUCACUUACUCCUUCAGCUUUUACUUUAUUUAUUUUUUACUAAACACAUAACAAAACUAAAAAACCUUCAAUUGCAUAGCUAUACAAAACAAACAACAGAAAGAAUAUUAUUUUUACCUAAGGGUGUGUUUAGUGCAAUGUAAACCUAUCCACAAGGCAGAGUGUACCUCAUGGACCGCAUGAGAGAGGUCCACGUGGAGCUUUCUCUCUCCCUCUUUUUUUAAAUAGAAAAUAUAAGGAUAAGAAUAUAUUAACCAUUGGGAAUGAUAUAUUUCAAAUUUUGGUUUGUCAACAAAUCUAUUUUAAAAAUAAAAAUAUAAAUAUAAGAAUAGAAACCGUUCGAAAUAAAUACAUAAUGAUAUUUAAAUUUCUCUUUUUUUUAACGGAUAAAAAUAUAAAAAUAAGAAUAGGAAUAGUUGGAAAUGAAUAUGUAAUAAUUAAAUACCUCUUUUGUUUUCUUUUUCUUUUAAAUAAGCAUUAAAAUAUGUGCGGGAAUAUAUAUAGAAUAAGAGAAAAUAUAUAUAAUAGUUUUUUAUUUUUUUAUUUUUUUAUUUUUUUUACUUUCAACCAAACAACAGUAACAAAAAAAAAAAAUUUCUACAAACCAAACAUCAGAGAGCGUAAAAUUUAUUUUUCUUCAAAACUUUUUUUUUCACAAAAAUUUCUUUUUUAUAAUUUUAGUAUAACCAAACACACCCUAAACUCUAUUUCACCCGAAAGUUUAUUUAAUUAAACC
rnacentral:lncRNA from 1 species